rfam:Schistosoma mattheei strain Denwood, Zambia genome assembly, scaffold: SMTD_scaffold0003825
UGCUGAGGAGUCCCACAAUAGGACGAAACGGUCGUCCA